UCUCCCUACGCUGUGUCUGUUUUGCCCAUGAUGGUAACUGUUGAGUGAUGUCUCUGUCCCUAUCUCAACCCUUGAAACCUUUCCAUUAUGUUUUCUCUCCCUUUCCCUUUGAGGAAGGGAUGUGAGAGAGCAGUUGUGAUGGAGCUCAGCUGCCCGCUUGAGUAAAACCACCACAGGUCCUCACGGCUGCAGAGAACAGCAGGAGAUCAAAACUCAGGUUGACUCCACAGGCUCUGAAGGCAACAAAAUGGGUAUUGUAGAGGAGAGGAGAAGAACAUGAGCAGACCAAAGGAAAUACAGGAGCAUGUGAGACACAGUAAACAUGAUACGUAUAACCUGGAUAUCUGAAUGCAGCAUAAUGGUCUCAAUGGACCCGUGUCCUACCUAACAGAUUUCAUGUUACAGCAUUCCCAGCUUCAUCAGUCACAAUUUCAUAAACUAGUUGACAAGUCAGGACAACAAGAUUUUCCCAAUGCAAUAUUUAAGGAAUAAUUCUUCAUAGCACUCUCUGUGUAACUGGAAAUGAUGUCAUCCAUUCCUAAGUAAGGGAGGCCUCAUGGGGCGAUCACUGUGACUUCGUAGGAUUCCCUAUUAGGUGAACUGGAUCUGGCUGCCUGUGGGAGCAGAUUUUCAGUCUCCAAACCCAUCGCAGACCGGGAGUCGAUUCUCCAACAGUGUGGUCUCAGAUUUCCCUAGGAAAAGAAGGAUGGAGGAGACUUGAAUCAAUAGCUACAUCUGCAUAUUUGCUACUGAAACUCCAAUUUAUCUGUUUGAGCUAGGAAGUCAUCUGCAUCUCUCUACUUUUGUUGGAUAGCAAGAAUUGUUCCCAGCACCCUUUUUGUCCCUGGCAGGGUGAAGUGAGCUGGAGAACAUUUGUGACUACACUAUAUAAAGCAUCAUUGGAAAAGACACAAGUCCCAAAACACCAUGCUAUUCUUCCAAUGAUGAAUCUUCAUAGCUUGAGGAACACUAUUUCUUCUCAGUACUUGCAAUAUCAAAG